rnacentral:pre_miRNA from 1 species
CAAGUACUCCCUCCGUCCGGAAUUACUUGUCAUCAAAAUGGAUGUGUCUAGAACUAAAAUACAUCUAGAUACAUCCAUUUCAAUGACAAAUAUUUUCGGACGGAGGGAGUACAAG